UGGGGAAUAUUGCACAAUGGGCGGAAGCCUGAUGCAGCGACGCCGCGUGAGGGAUGACGGCCUUCGGGUUGUAAACCUCUUUCAGCAGGGACGAAGCGUAAGUGACGGUACCUGCAGAAGAAGCACCGGCUAACUAUGUGCCAGCAGCCGCGGUAAUACGUAGGGUGCGAGCGUUGUCCGGAAUUACUGGGCGUAAAGAGCUCGUAGGCGGUUUGUCACGUCGUCUGUGAAAUCCUAGGGCUUAACCCUGGACGUGCAGGCGAUACGGGCUGACUUGAGUACUACAGGGGAGACUGGAAUUUCUGGUGUAGCGGUGGAAUGCACAGAUAUCAGGAAGAACACCGAUGGCGAAGGCAGGUCUCUGGGUAGUAACUGACGCUGAGGAGCGAAAGCAUGGGUAGCGAACAGG
rnacentral:rRNA from 1 species